GAUGAAGAACGUAGCGAAAUGCGAUACGUAGUGUGAAUUGCAGAAUUCAGUGAAUCAUCGAAUCUUUGAACGCACAUUGCACCUCUCGGUAUUCCGGGAGGUAUGCCUGUUCGAGCGUUAUUUGUACCCUCAAGCUCUGCUUGGUGUUGGGUGUUUGUUCCGCCUCUGUGUGUGAACUCGCCUCAAAACAAUUGGCAGCCGGCGUACUUGUUUCGGAGCGCAGCACAUUUUGCGAUCCAGAUCAACGUACAGCGGCAUCCAAGAAGCCUUAUUUAACGCUCUUGACCUCGGAUCAGGUAGGGAUACCCGCUGAACUUAAGCAUAUCAAUAAGCGGAGGA
rnacentral:misc_RNA from 1 species